CCUACGGGUGGCUGCAGUGGGGAAUAUUGCACAAUGGGCGCAAGCCUGAUGCAGCCAUGCCGCGUGUGUGAAGAAGGCCUUCGGGUUGUAAAGCACUUUCAGCGGGGAGGAAGGCGGUGAGGUUAAUAACCUCAUCGAUUGACGUUACCCGCAGAAGAAGCACCGGCUAACUCCGUGCCAGCAGCCGCGGUAAUACGGAGGGUGCAAGCGUUAAUCGGAAUUACUGGGCGUAAAGCGCACGCAGGCGGUCUGUCAAGUCGGAUGUGAAAUCCCCGGGCGCAACCUGGGAACUGCAUUCGAAACUGGCAGGCUAGAGUCUUGUAGAGGGGGGUAGAAUUCCAGGUGUAGCGGUGAAAUGCGUAGAGAUCUGGAGGAAUACCGGUGGCGAAGGCGGCCCCCUGGACAAAGACUGACGCUCAGGUGCGAAAGCGUGGGGAGCAAACAGGAUUAGAUACCCCUGUAGUC
rnacentral:rRNA from 1 species